rnacentral:rRNA from 1 species
AUUGAACGCUGGCGGCAGGCCUAACACAUGCAAGUCGAACGGUAACAGGAAGCAGCUUGCUGCUUUGCUGACGAGUGGCGGACGGGUGAGUAAUGUCUGGGAAACUGCCCGAUGGAGGGGGAUAACUACUGGAAACGGUAGCUAAUACCGCAUAACGUCGCAAGACCAAAGAGGGGGACCUUAGGGCCUCUUGCCAUCGGAUGUGCCCAGAUGGGAUUAGCUAGUAGGUGGGGUAACGGCUCACCUAGGCGACGAUCCCUAGCUGGUCUGAGAGGAUGACCAGCCACACUGGAACUGAGACACGGUCCAGACUCCUGCGGGAGGCAGCAGUGGGGAAUAUUGCACAAUGGGCGCAAGCCUGAUGCAGCCAUGCCGCGUGUAUGAAGAAGGCCUUCGGGUUGUAAAGUACUUUCAGCGGGGAGGAAGGGAGUAAAGUUAAUACCUUUGCUCAUUGACGUUACCCGCAGAAGAAGCACCGGCUAACUCCGUG